CUCAGUCUCCACUGUACUCCUUUUAGCUAGUUGUUGUGCCAAGAAAAGGCCUGAAUCAGGGUGAUGGAAGCUGUAAGGAGACAAGUUUGGAAUGAGUUUUAACAAUCAAGUUGCCUCAAUUCCGUCGUUGGGAGACUUGUUUUUAAUCGAGCAGCAAAUAGCAAAAGGUCGGUAGCCUUAUCCUUAUGUAUAGGAUAAGGAUAAUGAUAGUACCUACUUCAUAGUGAUGACGUGAGGAUAGUAAAUAAAAUAAAGACCAAGCAAGCUAAGCACAAGGACUGGCAUGCCACAAACACACAACCACACUGGAGGAUACAAGACGGAUCCUAGAAGGAUUUCAUCCAGAGUCAGUCAAGCUCUCCCUCCAAAUGCUCUCAGCUGAGGCUUGCUUUCCGCCUGGGACUGGUCCAGAAAGCCCUGCAGAACAUACUCUCUCUGUUUCCCAAACUCAAGGACCCUAAUCCCCAAACAUCUGCCUUUAAUCCUGGAGACAGUAAAAGUUCGGAGGAGGGUGCCAGACACAGGCUGAAAACACAAGUGAUGCUCCUGGCUUUCUGUGUCUUACUGCCUCCCUCUCUGGUAACUGGAGGGGAGGUUUCCUUCAGUUCCGUAACUGAAGGGCCUGGUUUCCAGGUGCCCAGCCCAGAUGGGAUAGCUCUGAAAAAUGGUGGAGGCAGGGGCGAGUUCAGUUCAUGCCUAGGGUAAUCAGAGGGGAGUCGGCAACCUCCAGGGCUCCCACGCUACAGGAGCAACAUGCUGGAGCCCACAGGCUUCCACCUGCCUUGGGGCUCAGCCUUUGCAUGUUCAGGGGUGCCUCAAGCUCAGUUUGUUUGAACAGACCUCUGCUCCGUCCCUCAUCUGGAUGCAGGAACAAGACUCCCAGCCUCAAGAAUCACUUGAAGCCAGCAGUUCAAGACCAGCCUGGGCAACAUAGUGAGACCCCUGUCUCUACAAAAAAUUUAAAAAACAAUAGCCAGGUGUGGUGGUGAGUGCCUGUAGUCCCAGCUACUACGGAGGCCUGAGAUGGCAGGAUCGCCUGAGCCCAGGAGUUCAAGGCUGCAGUGAGCCGUGAUUGUGCCACUGUACUCCAGCCUGGGUGACAGAGCAAGACUCCAUCUCUAACUAAAAGUAAUAAUAAUAAUAAUAAAGUAAUAAUCAUAAUAAAAUU
rnacentral:lncRNA from 10 species